CCUUCUACGGGGCGCAGCAGUGAGGAAUAUUGGUCAAUGGUCGGGAGACUGAACCAGCCAAGCCGCGUGAGGGAGGAAGGUACAGAGUAUCGUAAACCUCUUUUGUCAGGGAACAAAGGCGGGGACGUGUCCCCGGAUGAGGGUACCUGAAGAAAAAGCAUCGGCUAACUCCGUGCCAGCAGCCGCGGUAAUACGGAGGAUGCGAGCGUUAUCCGGAUUUAUUGGGUUUAAAGGGUGCGCAGGCGGCCUGUUAAGUCAGCGGUAAAAGCCCGGGGCUCAACCCCGGCGAGCCGGUGAAACUGGCG
rnacentral:rRNA from 1 species